GUUUCUGGAACCAGAAAUCAGGAGCCUGAGUGGUCUGGCAGACCACAAAACCCAUGGGGCCUUAAUCCAGAAUGGCCAACCCCGCGCAUUCAGAAAUCCACCCUGCAAAUAGCUGGGAAAAAUGUUCCAUCUGGGAUCUGAGAUGGGCACGAAGACAACCAAUGCGAGGGGGAAGCAGGUCCGGGACAGCAAUUUCCUCAGCCCAAGCCGUUCUGCCCAACCGCUCUGUCCCACAGCCGGGGAGAGGAGUAAGCACAACAGCUCAGUGGUUUAGCGCUAACUGAAGUGUUGACUGUUGAAAAAGGGAGUGAGCUGCAGGCAGAUCAGUUAUUUGAGAUCCUGACAGACAAUACUGGCAAAGACCAAUACAAAACUGAAAGACCAUCAGCCUGAACUCUCCUCUGCUAUCUGAAAGUGGUCACUCCAGAUCAGAGCUGAGACACAUUGGUGGCCACAAUGGAGGGAAGGGGGUUCCUCAAGUUCUACACACCCUGCAACAAUUAGUGACAAGGUUACAACUUUUGCCAGUGGUACUCGAGGAACUUUAAACCAGAGUCAGCCAUCUCGUGGUUCCCUAACUGAAAAGUAUGUAAUCUAUCACCGCGGUGCUUACACUAAACCUUGCAGUCCUGACUCCAAACUGUAACCAUUUAUAUGGCACAAUUUAGAAUGCGUGGUAACCCCUGGAAUGUGUA